UCUAGAACUCUAGAUAUGGGCUGAACACUGAACAGUGUCUGGUCUGCAGGACAGAUUCCGACUUCUCCGUUGUUGCUACCAUUUGAACUCGAAAAUGACACUUUUAAAUCUUGGCCUCUUUAUGAAAGUUUUAGGCCUAUGUCUUAGCUUUCCAUA
rfam:Populus trichocarpa scaffold_18_contig_105, whole genome shotgun sequence.